rnacentral:lncRNA from 1 species
CUCUUCUUCUUUCUUCUUCCUUCCCCGAAGCUUCUCCCUUUCUUCUUCCAUUUCCACCGCGAUCUCCUCCCCCCUCUUCUUCUCCUCUCCUCUCAUGAGGCAAGGAGGCUCGGGAGGGACGGGCAACGGCCGACGGCGCCCGGCACCCGGCCUACAGCGCCCACGGUCGCGCCCACGACCGUGCCUGCGGUCGUGCCCAUGGCCGCGUCGGCGUCCCACAUCCCACGGCCGACGACCCGCGGCUCGCAUCCCACGGCCAACGACCCACGGCGGAGGUCGGCGCCCACGGAUCGACCACCAAAUGUCACGCCCCCGCCUCUGCGAGGCACGUGAGGCACCUAGUGCCCACGUGGGAGCCACAUGAGGGGGGAACACGGGGCUCCCCUGCCAGAUAUUGUCCGGUUCUGAGGCUUCACGCAAGCGUCCUUCACCCCUCCUCGGUUUUGUUUUCUACCCAAAACGCGUCUGCAGGAUUAGGAGACACCCGCCUCGUAUGCCCAGGCUCUAGAAUGAGUCUUUCCGAUGUGGGACUAUUGGGCCUCACAAUAAGAGUCAGGAAUUUAACAUUUUUACGUAGUGUCUGGAUGAUUUUGAUAUCAUAUGUUGAUUGAAAUAUGUGUUCGUACUCCAAGAUAUACUUCCUGUCGAUAAUCUUUCAGCUGUCUAAACGUUUUAGGGGGGAACUAAUUUUAUGGUGAUGGCAUUUUGUUCUUUCGCAGGUUAAUAGUCUAAGACAGGAGCGGCAAAUUUUGGCCUCAUGCAGAUCCGUUACAAUUGUGACUGGUGCAAGUUCACUGAAAGAUCGGCACAGAACCCCCUCCCUCUUUUUCAGAUGAUGCUUGUUAAUAUGCAAGUAUUCUGUAUUUUGUUUGCAAGAUUUGGAGUCCAUGUUUAUAAGUUUUGGAUAUCCAGAUGUUUAUGAGCAUGACAGUUCUUUU